GAUGAACGCUAGCUACAGGCUUAACACAUGCAAGUCGCGGGGCAGCAUGGGGGUUGCUUGCAAUCCCCGAUGGCGACCGGCGCACGGGUGAGUAACGCGUAUUCAACCUGCCCUUCACCACGGGAUAACCCGGCGAAAGUCGGACUAAUACCGUAUGUUGUCCAUUGACGGCCUCCGAUUUGGACGAAAGGCUUGGCGGUGAGGGAUGGGGAUGCGUCCGAUUAGCCAGACGGCGGGGUAACGGCCCACCGUGGCUACGAUCGGUAGGGGUUCUGAGAGGAAGGUCCCCCACACUGGAACUGAGACACGGUCCAGACUCCUACGGGAGGCAGCAGUGAGGAAUAUUGGUCAAUGGGCGUAAGCCUGAACCAGCCAAGUAGCGUGCAGGAUGACGGCCCUAUGGGUUGUAAACUGCUUUUAUGCGGGGAUAAAGUGGCCCACGUGUGGGCUUUUGCAGGUACCGCAUGAAUAAGGACCGGCUAAUUCCGUG
rnacentral:rRNA from 1 species